UCAUUUAAUCUCUCACAUACACUCAUAUGCUCUCUCUCUCCUUUCUCUCUCAUAGAACUGUCUGGUGCGCUGUGAGAAUGGUGUGUUCACUGCAGUAGUGGGAGACUUUAGUCUGGCAGAGAAGAUUCCAGACUACAGUGACGGGGCUGAUCAGCAGCCUCUGGCUGUGGUGGGCUCCCCCUACUGGAUGGCCCCGGAGGUGCUGAGAUGAGAGCUCUAUGAUGAAAAGAUACUAACAGUACUGUACUGUUUCCUGGCUGCUAUCUCACUGGUCAGAGUGCAUAAUAAGAGGAAGCAAACACAGUAAUGCAAUACAGUAGUACUAUGCUAUAAUGCAAUCUGGAAGGACAACUGUUCCAUGUUCCUGCUGUGUUUUUCUAGUUGUGUCUAGUGGGUCUAGCUAAUUUGUAUGUUUCUAGCGAAUGACCAGACUCUUUCAAGGUGUAUUAUUGUGAAUAUGCCAAGUGAGAUGUUAUUGAUCAGAUGUGAUUGGCUGACUCUGAUCCCUAGGUGGAUGUGUUUGACUAUGGAAUCAUCCUUUGUGAGAUCAUCGCCCAGAUAGAGGCUGAUCCGGACUUCCUACCUACCUGAGGACUUUGGGCUAGACGUUGGCUGCCUUUGAGAACCUGGUCGGUGACUAUCGAACACCAUUCCUCAACCUUGCAGUCCUCUGCUCUAAUUUAAAAUACAAUAACAGACAGACUGACAGACAGACAGACAUAAUUGCAUGCAUCCAUGACUCUGUGUACAUACUUAAUGUAAAUGCAUAGAUUGACAACCUCAAAGCCUUGACCUUCACCUCUCCCUCCGCUUCCAGUCCUUCCCCUGCACCCCCGAGCUGGGGCGACCCCUCGCCCCCCUCCUCCGGGACCCCGACCUGCAGAGCUUGGGGAAAGACGAGGAAGAGGAAGAGGAAGAGGAGGAGGAUGAAAGG